GUGCUCGCUUUGACAGCACAUACACUAAAAUUGGAACGAUACAGAAAAGAUUAGCAUGGCCCCUGCGCAAGAAUGACAUGCAAAUUCGUGAAGCAUUCCAUAUUUUU
rnacentral:snRNA from 1 species